GGUGGCUCAGUGGUAGAGCACCUGCCUUGCAUGCAUGAGGCCCUGGGCUCGAUUCCCCAGCACCA
rnacentral:tRNA from 1 species